GCGCAGCCAUCUUGGAGCCGGGCGAUGGCGUCAUCAGGGCGGAAGUGUGGCGUGGAGGGAACCGGUGUUGUCACGUCUGUGACUCUCAGGUGUUCCCUUGAUCUGGCUUCCCAGGCUCCUGUCAAGUUAUGGCACAGCUGAUGGGCAGUCUUCCCACCUGCAGGACCCACCGAGGCAUCCCCGCCCCGGGCAGCAGGAUGUGGUCGCAGAGGUUCUUGCUGCCUUUGAGAGACGGUCUCCUGACCCUUCUUUUCUGUUGGCUCACGGCUUCUUCCAGACCCUCCACCUGUGUGCACCUCUUCGCCCCGUGGCCUCCCCAGCCGAGGAAUCUGCUUAGCAUUUAAAGCAGAAACAGAACCAGCCCUGCCCCCCAGAAAUUGAACUUUUUGUUGUUUGUCUUCAGAAAAGCAAACCAGGUGUUGAGUUGGGCUCAUCUGGAUUGCUUCAGCCAUGGGUGAACAGCCAGACCUUCCCAUUUCAAUAUCCACACGCCUCAUUUCUCCCUCCCUAGUGAGGGUCAGAGGUGCUUUGGUUGUGCAUGACACAGGCUACCUCAUUUCACUGCUGGAGAGCUCAGAGCUCGCUGUGUCAGAAACAGAGGGAGAAGAAUUGUGUGAGUGUGAAGACCAGCGGGGAGAUGGAGGCCACUUGAUGAAGAGCCUUGAGCCCACCCCUUAAAGGAACAAGGCACGUUUCUCCCUAGGCUCCGACAGCUGGCUCCUUCAGCUUCAGCCCUGGUUAUUGAGAUGCAAAUGUGUGCCCGCGGGGAGUGCAGCUGCUGGCUGGCGCUGAGGCCCUCGCCCCAGGUGCAGCCCUACCGAGCCAGCGCCAGCGGGGGCAGUGCCGCAGAUGACCCUCCCAGGACAAAUGGAACCGUGGACCCCGUGCAGGAGGAAAGGCAGGUCAACAGUGUAUCCAGCACUGGGGGGCCAGGAUGAGCCCCCCGCCAGCCCGUGUGUGACCAGGAGCAGCCUGGAGUCCAGCAGAGGCAGAAGAGGGGGCCCUGAGAGAGGGCCCCCGGUCCUGCUUGCUCUCCUGGGCGCCGUUGCCACUGCUGUCUGCGGGGACCUGGAUGGAGCGGGGCUGGGCCUGGCUAUCCCAGUUCACCUGUCAGCUUUGUCACCUGCCGGGCCAGGGAUUUCGGGCAAGUGACUGAGCCCCCCGGAGGCUAUCUUCCUGGGCAAGGUGGGAUGGCGACAGUGCUGCAGCCUCGCUCUGGCCUCAGCAAAGAUUCUGUGGACACUGGCUGCCCCAGCGUUGGCCACGCAUGCCUCGGCCCCUCUGGUGGAAGCGCUCUGAGAAGCUGGCUGUGAGGCCCAGCCCUGGGCACCCACAGAUCCUUGUGCAAGGGCCGUGCUGGGAGCCUGGGAAGGUUCCCCACGGGCUGUGCCCCAGCACAGGAUUCCUGGGCCUUGCCGUGUCAGCGGGGCCUCCCCACCGAGGGCCUCACCUGGAAG